GCAGGUAUAGCUCAGGGGUAGAGCACGUGCUCAGCAUGCGCAAGGUCCUGGGUUCAAUCCCCAGUAGUUCCA
rnacentral:tRNA from 1 species